rnacentral:rRNA from 1 species
AUGAAGAAGUUAUUCUGGUUGCAGUACCUUGCGCCGGAACUUCCCGUGGCCUUGAGCGACCAGCUGAAGCAGUUGUCCGAGCUGCACAGGGUGGCCGGACUAGCCAUGAAGUAUGUUAUAAUCCGCUUGUGGCCGGCCGAUCACAUCCCUAAUAGUCACUUUGGCCUCGUGCAGAGGCUAGUGGAGGCGCUUCCUCGGAUCGAUGCCCUCAGGCGGUCGUCCUGCAUCGAAGGUGCCCGAAUGGCCUUUGCCCGUGUCAAGGUGCAGUGGGCAAAGAUGAAGGCCGUCAAAAUUGCUACCUCAGGGCCGCCUGAAGGGAAAGAGCACCGGCGGCCGGAGAAGUACUUUGACGAGGUCCUUGAGGGAGCCCGCAUUGUGGAGGGGCAGUGUUCGAAGGAUGCCAUCUUUGAGUAG